GAUGAACGCUGGCGGCGUGCUUAACACAUGCAAGUCGAACGGUGAAGGCGGAGCUUGCUCUGCUGGAUCAGUGGCGAACGGGUGAGUAACACGUGAGCAAUCUGCCCCUGACUCUGGGAUAAGCGCUGGAAACGGCGUCUAAUACUGGAUACGAGCUGCGAAGGCAUCUUCAGCAGCUGGAAAGAAUUUCGGUCAGGGAUGAGCUCGCGGCCUAUCAGCUUGUUGGUGAGGUAAUGGCUCACCAAGGCGUCGGCGGGUAGCCGGCCUGAGAGGGUGACGGGCCACACUGGGACUGAGACACGGCCCAGACUCCUACGGGAGGCAGCAGUGGGGAAUAUUGCACAAUGGGCGAAAGCCUGAUGCAGCAACGGCGCGUGAGGGACGACGGCCUUCGGGUUGGAAACCUCUUUUAGCAGGGAAGAAGCGAAAGUGACGGUACCUGCAGAAAAAGCGCCGGCUAACUACGUG
rnacentral:rRNA from 1 species